UGUGAAAACCCCAGAAAUUUCCUUUUCUCCUAAAAUGAAGAUCAAACAGGCUUUUCUCCUGCCUCUUGUUAUUGAAUUGAUGAGUUUUCUGAGAUAAUUAAACCUGGUCACUACCUUGAUAAAUAUAAUGGGAUCCAACUGUUGGAUACACUUUCUUCCUUCUCUUUGCCCUUUUUCUCCGAGGAACAAAAGCAGUAUUCUCUACAGGAAACUGGAUGAAGUGUGGAUGUUGAGCUGGCUGGGAAUGCUUCUUACGAAGUGAUUCUCUGAAGAGCUUAUUAUAAACUGAAUGUAAUAUGUUGCAAUUUUUUUAAAAUUUUUUUUUUUUUACAUUGGUGAAAAAAUAGAUAAUAAUAUUAUAUUGAUGUUAUGCGUUGGUCUCCAAUUUAGGAAAAUGAGAUUUGUAGUUAUACAAUAGUAAUGAUGUAUGGAGCCAAAUGUUGGGCAGAAAAAAUCAAAAUGUAAACAAACUUAGUGUAGCUGAGAUGAAGAUAUUGAGAUGGAUGAGUGAUAAAAUUAGAAAAGAUAAAAUAAGGAAUGUUCAUAUUAGAGCUAAUUUAGAAGUAACUCCGAUACAUGAUGAGUUGAGAGAGUCAUUUGAAGUGAUAUGAACUUCUGCAAUGAAGGCCUUAGAAUGCAUCAGUUAAGAGAGGUGAUAUGAUUAAGAUUGGAGGAACAAGGGUAGGCUUAAAAUGACUUGGAGAAGUGGUGAGGAAGGACAUGCAUAGCGCCACCAGUAACAAGUAUGAGUUUGAAUAGUGUUGAUUCAAGAAAGAAGAUCCAUGUAGUUGACCACAUUUAGUUGGGAUAAGGCAGAAUUGUGUUGAGUCGAGUUCAGAUUUAUAGUUAUUUUAAUAUCUUGGAGGCUUCAUCAGGGACAUGCUGUUAUACUUGGGUGCUGUGUGAAAGUUGCUAUUGUACGUUCAGAGGCAUUCUUUUGGAGGUGUUCAAACCUAAAUUCAAUUUCUUAUGAUGCUGUUUGCUUUUUAUUCUUCUGGCUAACCUCCACCUCUGCUGCUUGAAGGGUCAUGGUAUUCUUCAUAUUGCACCAAUUACCUUGGGGUACAUAAGUUACAUAUUAAUCAAUUAGAAGAGAGAAUUGGAGAGAGAGUGAUGGAUAUUUGUAUUGCUGCUUCUUCUCUUUCUUCCCAGCAAGAUGAUUGGUAAUGAUGUAGAUUCACAAAAUGAUACAAGUAAUCACUAAGAAGGAACAAAGAUUAAGAUACUUUACGGCUAAAACCUUCUAAGUGAAUGCGAAGACUAUCAGAAUAUCACAUGUUGUCCAUUAUAUAUUGUCCAGAUGUUCUAUGAACACAUUUGAUAUCUUAUGAUACUGUACUUGCCAACUUCUGCCAGUUAUAGGAAGCUGUUUUGGUAGGGACAAUAUUUGGUGUUGUGAAGUGAAAGAGAUCUUUUAGGUCUGCUAGUUUAAGCCCUGUUUCCAAUGGCCCUGCCGUUGGUGUGAAUAAAUGGUGCAACCCUACGCUUCUUUGUUCACAAGUUAUUCAAGAAUUGGAAUGAGUGAGUCUCACACAUGGGAUGUUGCCUUACAUUGCUUAGCUGGCCAAUUAUCAGGACGUUGAUUCUAACCUUAAACCAGUUUGAACUAAGCUAAUUUAAUGCCUACCUAGAGGCCUAAGAACAGGGUCCCUCUCUUAUCCAUAUCACCUCUUACAAAAUUGGACUUUGAUAUCUUUCCUUUUGUACUCUGUUCCUUCUUUUGCUUUGUCUCAUGACAACAUAGAGAUGAUUAAGGAGGAGAUGGUCCUGUUACCAUGAGUCCAUGAUAAUUACACAUUUUUGGAGAUGGGGCUUGCUUUAUUGGGUUUGGAGGUUUUGUUAUUUUCUUUAAAAAUUGCCAUGAAAAGUGAAUGUAAAUAAAUAAAUAGCUGGAAGAUGGUUUGGCAGCUGUGUUUAGGAGGACCAAAUGGAACUUGAGUUCUAUUUCUUGCCUUUAGAUGAAGUGGGUAAAAAUCAUGUGAAGGAAAAUUUCAAGGAAAAGUAUGUGCCCCUACCCCUCUCUCCCC